rnacentral:ncRNA from 2 species
UAACUCAAGGAGCGUUGCAGCGAAACAUCGUUUCGUCAGGCUUGGGUAAGCAGGGUGCAAAACGCCCUAUUUGGCAACGACGCUCACCUUUG